CCUUUGACGUUAGCGGCGGACGGGUGAGUAACACGUGGGUAACCUACCUAUAAGACUGGGAUAACUUCGGGAAACCGGAGCUAAUACCGGAUAAUAUUUCGAACCGCAUGGUUCGAUAGUGAAAGANGGUUUUGCUAUCACUUAUAGAUGGACCUGCGCCGUAUUAGCUAGUUGGUAAGGUAACGGCUUACCAAGGCGACGAUACGUAGCCGACCUGAGAGGGUGAUCGGCCACACUGGAACUGAGACACGGUCCAGACUCCUACGGGAGGCAGCAGGG
rnacentral:rRNA from 1 species